AACACACUGUGGUUCCUUGUCUGGAUUACUCAAGAACAUUUCUAAGUGACGAACAAUACCAACAUAGUUUACUGCAGCCAUUGAAUAAAAGUAAGUUCCGAUACAUUUAGGAAUUCUACUACAGUUUGUUUCUGUUUCUACAUUUUCUCACUGGAAUUUUAAAACUGAGUUUGAUUCUUGUGCUAAGGUUUCUAACCCUUAGUUUUAUGCAAAUAACGUCACAAUAGAUUAUGGUGAAUUUGAGUUGUCUAUUCUGGUAAAAGGGUGUCAUAUUUUAUCUCGAUCCUGAGAGCACCCAUUUUUUAUCACUGCUUGUGUAUGGUUUACACUUAAUAUACUAAGGUCAGAACUAUGAACUAUUUCAAUCCAAGUAUAAUUCAUUAAUAUUUAUUCUAUGAUACUUCCACAACACUGUUUGUGUUGAUAUCCCUGAGCCCUGAAAACCAAAGCUUAUUGGUUUAUAUGGGCAAAUGGUAACACUGAAAGCUAAGAUAGCUUGAUGGAGAAUUUGACACUUCCUUUGCUGAGAUCCUAUCUGGCAUUUCUUCUAGAUGGUCAGAUUUUGCAAGCAUUGGAUGGAGGCUCUGAUGCGUUUGUUAUGGGAUUGAGUUCUGCUCAAUCACAGCUCUCAGUUCUAGAUAGUUCUUCGCGGCUUGGACUAAAGCCAUGGCAAAAAACAAAGCCAUGUAUUGAGAUAUUGUGCAAUAACCAGGUUCUAUCACCAGAGAUGAGUUUGGCUACUGUGCGAACAUAUAUAUGGAAAAAGCCAGAAGAUUUGAUUCUUCAUUACAGAGUGGUCCAACCGAGAUGAUCACGGCUUCAGAUGUACAUGCUGACAUGGUUCUCAGCAUGGCUGCACCAUAAACGGUGUGGUUGAAGACACCCUUGGCUUAGCGAGGAAACCGUCAGAAAUAUUUUGCUCUUUGGCUCCGGUAGCCGCUCUCCUAGAAUCCCGACUUCGUUUGCUUCUUUGUAAAGUUCCUUCCUGAUCUUGCCCUGGUAGUAAGAUGUAUCAUAGCACAGGUAUAAGGCCCUCUGCUUGUACAUGUAGAAGAUUUGGGUGAUUAAUAAAGGUCAAAUGGAUUUUUUUCGUUUUUCUUUGACAAAGUUUGUAAGAAAACGGGCUGGUUCUCGGCUCAGACCGUGGCGUUCCGACGUCGAUUAUUGGAUUUAAACCUGUCGCAUCCUCUUGGUUCUGUUAGCAUAAGAGGUGGACGGGAUGUCGGGAGCAAUAAAGCUGUUUUUUU